rnacentral:rRNA from 1 species
UACGAAGGGGGCUAGCGUUGCUCGGAAUCACUGGGCGUAAAGCGCACGUAGGCGGCUUUUUAAGUCGGUGGUGAAAUCCUGUAGCUCAACUCCAGAACUGCCUCCGAUACUGAAAGGCUCGAGUCCGGGAGAGGUGAGUGGAACUGCGAGUGUAGAGGUGAAAUUCGUAGAUAUUCGCAAGAACACCAGUGGCGAAGGCGGCUCACUGGCCCGGUACUGACGCUGAGGUGCGAAAGCGUGGGGAGCAAACAGG